GGCGGACGGGUGAGUAAUGCUUAGGAAUCUGCCUAUUAGUGGGGGACAACAUUCCGAAAGGAAUGCUAAUACCGCAUACGCCCUACGGGGGAAAGCAGGGGAUCUUCGGACCUUGCGCUAAUAGAUGAGCCUAAGUCGGAUUAGCUAGUUGGUGGGGUAAAGGCCUACCAAGGCGACGAUCUGUAGCGGGUCUGAGAGGAUGAUCCGCCACACUGGGACUGAGACACGGCCCAGACUCCUACGGGAGGCAGCAGUGGGGAAUAUUGGACAAUGGGCGGAAGCCUGAUCCAGCCAUGCCGCGUGUGUGAAGAAGGCCUUUUGGUUGUAAAGCACUUUAAGCGAGGAGGAGGCUCCUUUAGUUAAUACCUAAAGAGAGUGGACGUUACUCGCAGAAUAAGCACCGGCUAACUCUGUGCCAGCAGCCGCGGUAAUACAGAGGGUGCGAGCGUUAGUCGGAUUUACUGGGCGUAAAGCGUGCGUAGGCGGCUUUUUAAGUCGGAUGUGAAAUCCCUGAGCUUAACUUAGGAAUUGCAUUCGAUACUGGAAAGCUAGAGUAUGGGAGAGGAUGGUAGAAUUCCAGGUGUAGCGGUGAAAUGCGUAGAGAUCUGGAGGAAUACCGAUGGCGAAGGCAGCCAUCUGGCCUAAUACUGACGCUGAGGUACGAAAGCAUGGGGAGCAAACAGGAUUAGAUACCCUGGUAGUCCAUGCCGUAAACGAUGUCUACUAGCCGUUGGGGCCUUUGAGGCUUUAGUGGCGCAGCUAACGCGAUAAGUAGACC
rnacentral:rRNA from 1 species